rnacentral:tRNA from 1 species
GGCAAAGUGGCCGAGUGGUUAUGGCGCACGGUUCAGGUCCGUGUUUCGAAAGAUACCUGGGUUCGAAUCCCAGCUUUGUCA